rnacentral:rRNA from 1 species
AUACGUAGGGUGCGAGCGUUGUCCGGAAUUACUGGGCGUAAAGAGCUCGUAGGUGGUUUGUCGCGUCGUCUGUGAAAUUCCGGGGCUUAACUCCGGGCGUGCAGGCGAUACGGGCAUAACUUGAGUACUGUAGGGGAGACUGGAAUUCCUGGUGUAGCGGUGAAAUGCGCAGAUAUCAGGAGGAACACCGGUGGCGAAGGCGGGUCUCUGGGCAGUAACUGGCGCUGAGGAGCGAAAGCAUGGGUGGCGAACAGGAUUAGAUACCCUGGUAGUCCAUGCCGUAAACGGUGGGCGCUAGGUGUAGGGGCCUUCCACGACUUCUGUGCCGUAGCUAACGCAUUAAGCGCCCCGCCUGGGGAGUACGGCCGCAAGGCUAAAACUCAAAGGAAUUGACGGGG